CCCUGUCAACAAAUUUUCUUGCAGAUUUGUCGUCAGAAACUGAACUGUUCUUCUCUCCGGUCGUGAUCUCAAGAAUAAGCAUGCCUAAACUAUAUAUGUCCGACAUGGUGGAGAUUUCACCUCUGUAUAGAUAUUCCGGAGCUAUGUACCCACUGCAAGGGUUUAUUAAAUAAACAAAUGGAAUUUAUCUAUAAUAAUAAGGAAUAAUCAUAUAUUUCACAGUUUGUUUCAGCUUACUUAUGUCCCUUGACAUUGACUGUGUACAUCCGGGUCUGCUCUUGGCCAAAAAGUCUUGAGAGGCCAAAAUCGGCAAUCUUUGGCACCCAGUUAUCAUCCAACCAUAUAGAGUUAGGCACAAGAUUCAUAUGAAUAAGGGGGCCAUCCAAUUCCUUAUGAAGGAAAUGUAAACCCUGGCAGAUUCCCUUAACUAUUUGGAAUUGCGUGUCCCAGUUAAUGGAUCUAGUGUCCGCUGAAGUAAGAAGUAAAGAAAGUACAGUGAACUGUAAGUAUUCUAAGAUAGUAGUCUCCAAGAGUGCGUAUUGCUGAGAAAAUAAGAAUCACUCUUUUGACAAUUGUAUAUAUCUCUUGAAUACUAAUAGUAGAGAGAUAGAAAUGUGCUGGAUAGUGCAUUGCAUACCAUAAAGAUACUUGUCGAGGGUUCCGUUUGGUAGAUAUUUAUAGCACAGACAGCUUUCGACCAUGUCUACAAUCACAUAUCUUCCAUUAUGCUGAACCACUUUCUUUUGUGCUUCAUGGCAGUAGCCAACCAACUGUACAAUAUUGUCGUGCUGAAGUACCAUAAGAUUUGUAACCUCGGUAUCAAAUGUUUUGCCAGGUGCCACUGGGGCGUUUUCAGCCAGCCUCUUCACAGCAAUCGUGCCCCCUUCUGGCAGAACCCCCUGUUUUAAUCUCCAUGGGUCAUUAGUGCAAAGUGUUUUUGUUUGGAAGAAUUUGAUGUUUAAAUGACGGGGCUCAGUCAUUUACCUUGUAAACUAUUCCAAAUACAGAACGGCCGAGUUCUCGCCCAGCGGCGAAAUCGCUGGUAAUUUCCUUCAUAAAGGUCGCAGGUAGUUCUUUUGGUAAUGU
rnacentral:lncRNA from 1 species